CAUCAAGGCAUAUAGAAAAGCAUGUUUUUUUUUAAGUAAGGACACGUUUACUACACAUUUCUCAUUAUUAUCUUUAUUUUUAUGAAAGUUUUUUGAGUUGACGAUUAAUUUAAUUAUUCGUGUUUGAUGGAAGCCGCUGUGAGUUGUUUAAGUUACGUGUCAGUAACUCCCGCUUGCGCCGCUGCGGGCCUGAAGGGGUUAACUUGUCUCCCGGUUGAUAGCUGCGGUGGGCUGCGAGUGCAUUCUCGGCGUCCAAUCAGCGGCGCCGAAUCCACUUCGCAUCGAGCCAAUAAGGAGAAUGGGAGGAUCUAUCGAAUUUGAAUGAGGAGUGUAUCUUUCGGCGCCAUUUUCGAGUGAGCAGCGAUUGCCUCAACAGCUGCGGGGAGAGGAUGCUGCGAAUAUAGAGAGCUGUCGCUGAAGACGGAGGAGGGGGGCUGCCAGAGACCAAGAGAUAAAACUGCGCUUUUGAAGAAAAAAAGGAAAAAAGAGGGGGGUGGCGGACCGCUUUUAUUUCCAGCAGGAGACUCAGAUGGAGAUGCUCCCAGCUUUGAUCAGAAGAGGAUGGAGGCUCUGAACGGUCAUCUCACUGUUUGUACAGAUACAUAUUGAUAAGUGGCGUCUGUAGAUACACAUUCGAAAGAAGAAAUGCAGAUUAUGAAGAGGAGAACGCGGCGGUACGGCUGGAGUUCUGGUGAUGCUGUAGCAGCACGGAAUGGUUUGUGGGUUAUUGUGAGAUGCAGGCCAUGCUGUGCUGCCGCAGUAAUGCCCGAUUACACAACUGAACUUAUUCCACUUCUCCUAUGAACCUCACAUUAUGUUCUCUGAUGAUGAUGAUGAUAAUGAUGAUGAAGGGGUAUUUGGAUAUUUGUGAGUCACAUUGCCUGGUCGCUUUACUAUAGCAGCACGUAAAUAUUGGAGGUCAACAAACUGAAGUCUCCAGUAUUGAUCGUGCUGCUGAAGCAAAGCUGACCGUUCACCAUCACCGCUGACUUAGUGAUGCUACAUGUUUACUCACAUCCUGUCUGUGUGCUUCAACUUCUUUUCAGCCUCUCUGUAGCAUCAGGACCGUGUUCUGUAAUAAAUGUACUUUUUUUUUUCAAUAAAAGUUAGAACUUUCUUUGUCAUCA